GUCGCCCUGCCACUUGGGAACUUGAGUCUGAAAUCUUGGAGAAGUAUCCUCACUUGUUUUAUUAGGUAAGAAAGGCUCAGACCACAUGUUGAAGAAAUGACGCGUGUCAGUUUACACUAUAGUCUGCUUAUAGUUUAUGGGGAAUUAUUUUGAACCAUGGAUGUGUUAUGUACUCCAUAUUUCUAUGUUUUUCUUUGAAUGUUUAGUAUGUGUAUGAAUACAUUUUCAUGACUUUGUGUCGGGAUUGUAUUAAUCAUCUCUUUUGUCGAA